rnacentral:rRNA from 1 species
AUGGCGUCAAUCUCGUCGUGGUCUGACCUCCCGCAAGAUCUCCUGCGUCUCGUCAUCGCCAGAGUCGCUUUGCCGGUUGACCGCGCCCGUUUCCGAGCGGUGUGCCGUUCCUGGCGCUCGGUUCCCUCUCCACGCCGGACGCCAUGGCUCGUAGCUCCAGAUGGAUUUUUGAUGCGCUUUGAAGACGACCCCUGCAGGCUCGUUGCUUUCCCCGACAACUGCCGCUGCAUCGGCUCCACCGAUAGCUGGCUCGUCAUGGACUUGACCGACUCCAAGACACGCACUCAUACCUACACGUUGGAGAACUUCUUCUCUAAGACGACCGUGCCGUUCCCCGAGCUAGACACGGUCAUCGGCAAUGUUUCCAAGCCGUUCGAGGUUCGCAAGGUGCUCAUGCGGUCGCCACCCGAGGGCCUCGUCGCUGUCAGGACCAACAAGUAUAGUUACCCCAUCAUCUUGGUCCAGCCAGGGAAGGGUUUGUGGCUACCUCAGCCAAGGACAGCUCCCUAUACGCGUCUCAUCGACAUCGCUUUUCUCCAUGACAGACUCUAUGGGCUCACGCGGGACGAGGAUCUCUUCUCCUUCCACAUCGCCUUUGAUGGCAAGGGCGCACCCACCGUUACCGGUAUGGAGUGCAUCGUCAAGCACUCUACGGUUGAUCAUGAUCAUCAUGAGCAUGGCUUGGAACAACCGAGAAAGAGCACCGACGACAACAUAGAAUAUAACAGCAUGCGCUACGACGAUGAUGAGGAUGGUGUCGUCAUGACAAUCUGGUACUUGGUCGAAUCACGUGCACGUGGGAAGUUGCUUAUGGUGAGACGCCAAAUCAAAGGGCCUCAACUUGCUACCCGCUUCACUUGCAAGGUGGAGGUUUUCGAGGCAGACGCAAGCACAAGCACCUGGGUGCCCGUGUCCGGUGGGCUAGACGGCCAUGCACUUUUCGUCAGCAAGCGUUUCAGCAGAUCGGUAUUUGCAGGUGGUGACGUGGCUGAGGAUACUAUUUAUUUUAUGGAGACAGGAGAAGCGUAUAACAUGAGAUCCAAGACUACAACCCCGCCCAUCUUAAUGGCCUCUACCCAUGCCACGUGCCUCUUUCUUCCAGGUUCUUUAGAUUAUUAUAAAAAGGAAAAGAAAAGUACCUACACGAAUCUUCGUGUAGAUCAAUGA